rnacentral:rRNA from 1 species
GCCUCAUACAUGCAAGUCGAACGAAGUCUUCUGACUUAGUGGCGCACGGGUGAGUAACAUGUGGGAAUCUACCUAAAGGUUCGGAAUAACUGCGGGAAACUGUAGCUAAUACCGGAUGUGUCUGCAGAGAGAAAGAUUUAUCGCCUUUAGAUGAGCCCGCACUAGAUUAGCUAGUUGGUGAGGUAAUUGCUCCACCAAGGCUACGAUCUAUAGCUGAUUUGAGAGGAUGAUCAGCCACACUGGGACUGAGACACGGCCCAGACUCCUACGGGAGGCAGCAGUAGGGAAUAUUGGACAAUGGGGGAAACCCUGAUCCAGCAAUGCCGCGUGAGUGAAGAAGGCCCUCGGGUUGUAAAACUCUUUCAUCAAUGAUGAUAAUGACAUUAGUUGAAGAAGAAGCUCCGGCUAACUUCGUGCCAGCAGCCGCGGUAAUACGAAGGGGGCUAGCGUUGUUCGGAAUCACUGGGCGUAAAGCGUAUGUAGGCGGAUCAAAAAGUUAGAUGUGAAAUCCCUGGGCUCAACCCAGGAACUGCAUUUAAAACUAAUGAUCUAGAAUUUGGUAAGGGUUAGUAGAAUUUCCAGUGUAGAGGUGAAAUUCGUAGAUAUUGGAAAGAAUACCAGAAGCGAAGGCGACUAACUAGGCCAUUUUUGACGCUGAGAUACGAAAGCGUGGGUAGCAAACAGGAUUAGAUACCCUGGUAGUCCACGCAGUAAACGAUGAGUGCUAGUCGCUGGGACAUUAGUUUCAGUGUCGAAGCUAACGCAUUAAGCACUCCGCCU